AAACAAGAGAAGUUUAGUCUGAUUUGACUUCAUACCGUUGAACAUCAAACUCUUUCAAGGAUUUGAAGCAGCCUCUGUGACGUAGAAGUUGAGUGAAUUUCAAACCUCAGCAGUAAUCUCAGUGUUACUGUGAUGAAAUGACAGCAACUUUCCGAGUCUCACCGUGUUUGUGGACUCCUAUGAGGAGAGACUUGUCAGCGUCUGCGUCCCACCAAGUCACUGGAAUCUCAAUGUAGUCGAUGUCAGGUACCCCCUCCUGAGAUUGAUUGGCAGCCUCACCCAGAACCUCCACCUUCAGCUCUCGUCCUGCAGCACCACCUCAGGGUUACAGUGGACCAGCCAGUCAAUGUUUUUAACGUCGGGAACGUUCAGCUGAUUCUUCAGCUUCUUCCCCUUCCUGCCCCGAGGAACCGGAGCAGACAGACCUGCGCACCCAAACGAGACGCAUUAACCUGAACUGGUGCCAUUUAAAGCGACCGUGGUUCAGGAUGUCCUUCCACCGACCCCAACUGGAAACCAAGAUUCAGAUAAACAACAAACACGCCGCUGCAGAUCUCACACGCUCUGAAGCGUCAGCAGGAAACAUUGGGAGA